CUUUCCCGAAGGGCAGCGCCGGCUAGCCACGGAGUCCCAGGGCGGAGUACUCCCUAUACCCUGCAGUCCGAACAAUCGAUUCCGACUCAUCGGACGUCUCACGUCACUAACUUGACAAUAACCAAAACAAAACAAAGGUAUUUUUUACAUCAAAAACUAAGACAAUUGGACGAAAUUGGUGGCUUCGGUGUUCAUGCCACAACGCACCCACCCUUCCUUGGGUGUUAAUGUUGGUGGCACACCCCAUCUCCGGCAGACCGAAGUCUAUUCCUGGUGGAUUCGGAUCGGCUCAUCUCCCCGCCCAAGGAACACUUAAGGCCGAUCUCAGACCGUCGCCCAGAUGAGAAGUCGACAAAGCGGCAACAACUCCAGGGAAAUUUUUAGACACAAAAAAAAUUAAAAGUGUUCGGCAAAAUUCGCCACGGAAAUUAAUAAAUAAAUAUGCAACUAUUGUACGGCACCAAUUUGGAGGCGUUUGCCAAUCGGGUCAUCUAAUCCUGAGGAGCUCCUAGGGAAAUGAAAGGACGUCCUGAAAAGGGAUAUUGUUGGACGCGCGGCUUGGGUACGGAAUAAAGCCUCUAAUUCCAGAUUAGAAUUCACAUUGAGUAUUUGGCAAUAUGUUCGACUGUAUGAUUUUAUAAAUUAAUGAUUAUUCAUGGCAGAGUUGAACGUUGGUUAUGGUCGAAGCUGCAGCAAGUAGAAAGAGACCGCUAGCGGCGAAAACAAGCGCGAGUCCGCCCGGAACCAAAUGGUCUGGAGGAAAGCUCAGCGUUAGUGCCAGAAGGGGCCGGAGGCAGUGCGUCGGUGGUCCCAGAGAUGACCAGUAGUCAGCACGGGUAUUCGUUCCCGGAACGGACUCACCGAGGGAAUCCCCGUAUGUGGCCGUCACGGAGGCAGAUGCUGGAGGCUGUUGGAGUCUGCCGCUGCUGCUGAUGCGACUGAUGCUGCUGCUGAUCGCUGCUGCGGCUGAUGCUGCUGCUGAUCGCUGCUGCGCCUGAUGCUGCUGCUGAUCGCUGCUGCGGCUGAUGCUCGGCUGCCACUGAUGCUCGGCUGCCACUGAUAACUGCUGCGGCUGAUGCUCGGCUGCCACUGAUAACUGCUGCUGCUGGUCAGGUGCAGGCUACUUAGUCUUUACGACCAGAUAAGUAUUUUUCUUUCACGAGUCUUCUAAAUAUCCGGGGCCCUUUAAAUAGGGUUCCCGGAGGCUUUAAUAUUUU